AUUGAACGCUGGCGGCAUGCCUUACACAUGCAAGUCGAACGGUAACAGGUUAAGCUGCCGCGUGGCGAACGGGUGAGUAAUGUAUCGGAACGUGCCCAGUCGUGGGGGAUAACUGCUCGAAAGAGCAGCUAAUACCGCAUACGACCUGAGGGUGAAAGCGGGGGAUCGCAAGACCUCGCGCGAUUGGAGCGGCCGAUAUCAGAUUAGGUAGUUGGUGAGGUAAAGGCUCACCAAGCCGACGAUCUGUAGCUGGUCUGAGAGGACGACCAGCCACACUGGGACUGAGACACGGCCCAGACUCCUACGGGAGGCAGCAGUGGGGAAUUUUGGACAAUGGGCGCAAGCCUGAUCCAGCCAUGCCGCGUGCGGGAAGAAGGCCUUCGGGUUGUAAAACGCUUUUGUCAGGGAAGAAAAGGUUCUGGCUAAUACCUGGGACUCAUGACGGUACCUGAAGAAUAAGCACCGGCUAACUACGUG
rnacentral:rRNA from 1 species